UGUGCUUCUUAUCUCCAGGAUCGCUGUAAGAGGCUUUUCCUUGGUGCCGCACGCGCCGCGCGGAUUCGCUUUCGAUAUGACUUUCCUUUCUUGUUAACCUUCUUUCCUUUUGACUGUAACAAUUAGAGAUAAGUCACCGGGAUUUCCCCGGAAUUGUGGUAUAAAUAGGCGCCGACCUGCGCCCGAUCCCGUCCUCAGGCGCACACUGAACGCCCUGGAACAGAGAGACGCACAGGCGCGGAGACGCACCGCGGCGGCACAGUGGUGAGACUGGUAGAAGAAACGGGUGCUUGUGAACAGAUAAGGCAGGCAACUGCGUGGGGCCCCAAGGUCAGCUGAGGCUCCUGAUUUCUUCAUCAUCUAAUUCUGUGAGCAAGAUUUAUGACAAUUCAUACAGUUUAUAGAUAUUCAUAAGUGUUGUGCUAACAACAGAAUGCUAUAAUUCCCAGCCAGAGAAAUCUCCCUAACUGAGCUUUAAAUAUUGUCUAUUAGCGCUGGAACUUGGCUGAAAAGAAAAAAAAAACUGCACAUUUCGGGGACAUUCCAAUAUAGCUGAAUAUACAGUAUAUCCCUUAUAGGGCACAUCUGGCAGUGCGUCUAUAGUAAUUACUGAAUUGCAUGGAUAGUUUUAAAAAAUAAAAUACAAAAUAUAAAAUAUAAAAUAUUUAUAGGACUUAUAGUCCUAAAAUAAAAAUAAAAAAAUAAAUAAAACAUUUUAAGAUUUAAAAGUAUUAGAAAGAACCCAAGUUCAUAUUCACAAUAAGGAAAGUAAAAUCUGCAGACUGUGUGUAUAACUUUAACUUUUUCCAUGUGUUUUUGGCACGUUUCCUCAGUGGGAAUUUGGCCUUUUCUACAAACAGACACAUCUUUUCCUUCUUGCUGAGAACAUGGCCUUUGCAGCUUCACACUCGUGAGACAGAGCUGAGAUUUUACAGUCCAUUGUUGUUGUUGUAUUUUUUUUUCUUACAGUAAGAAAGAAUCUGGUUCAAGCACACAGAUCAGGGUCGAGGUUUAAACUCCGACCCUCUGGUCGAUGCCCUUAUUUCUGUAUUUACAGAGGGUGAAAUAUGAGAUUUAUAGCCCCAAUAACUUGUGAAAAUGUUAAGGGGAAAGGGACACGUCCUCUUCAAAGAGAAACAAGGAAGAAGGAACGUGAAACAGUGUUAGUCUUCUACUGUAAAUCUUAUUCUUGUUGUUCUUCUUGUCUUCUUCUUAUUAUUAUUAUUCUGAUUAUUUUAUUAUUGUUUUUAGACAAUAGAAGCACUGUAGACGUUGGAAGAUACUGUAUGUAUUGUAGUGUGUGUGUGUGCGGUGUGUGUGUGCAUGCAUGUCUUAGUGUAUGCAUAUAAUAGAAAGUUAUAGUUAGUUUUGAAAAAAAAAUUAAGAAAUUGAAUUUACAUUUUUAACCUUAUUUUAUAACUCACAGUGUAUAAACUAUAAACUCAUCACUUGUAACUUAUUACUACUGACAAAAUCUUAAUUGUUCUUAUAACUACUCAUAGAAACUCUCUGUAAAAUAUUAUUAUUAUUAUUAUUAUUAUUAUUAGUCAUAAUUCCAAACACCUGGACAUAUUUUACAUUUAACAUUAAGGGGCAAAUUAAUUACAUUUAUAGCAAUUUGACAUUUAAAAAAUGCUGGAAAAUUAAAUUAGAUGUUAUUUCUCUUAAUGCUGCUAAUACUGUAAAUCCAUUAUUUUACUUAAGUUAUAAAAAAGGUUAUAUUAUAAAAUGUAUACAAUAUAUCAUAAGUUAUAUU